CUCUUUCACCCGAACAUACUCUUAUAGGUCUGACAAAGUUAACAAUGUUUCAUAUAUAUCACAAAUAACACUGUCUUCAGGCUUCAGCUUCUUCAGUUAUAGUAGAACUAUUAACUAAAUUUCAAUUUGGCUAGGCUUGGUGGAUUUUGAUUUGAAUUUUAUCAAGUAUGUGAGUGCAGAAUUCUUCUAAUGCUACUUUCAUAGAAUGAACUAUUCAUUAUAUGUAUUUCAACCCUAUUGAAAGUGGAGUUUUCUCAAGAAUGAAUGACAAUUUAUGACUAGAGAUUCUAGAGUUUCUACCUUUUUAAAAAAUGACCAUUUUUUCUUUGUGUAGCUGAAUAAGAACACGUGAACAACUGUUAUUGCUAUAUUGCAAUCUAAUAUGUUAGUAGACCAUUUAACAUAAUCGGAUAUCAAAUUUAAGAGAAAAUGCUCUGGUUUUUGGAACAAAAAAUUACUCUUUAGACUACAGAACAUGGGUGAAGAAUCUUAUCCUACUAUAGCAAAUUAAAAUGCAUACUCCAAACCUUCAAACUCUAAAAUUGCUGAAGUGCACUCAUAUCCAGAAUACAGAUUGAUAGUUUGCUGUUUGACUAGUACAUUAGUUGAUACUUGAGAGGUGAUAUAUUGUUUCUGACUUCUGGAUUUGCUGAAAUAUGUCUAUUCUUCAUUCUCCCUAUAUGUUCUAGUUGAUUCUUAUUGGUCACAUGUAAAUUCUUUUUUGCUGUAUUUUAAUUGAAUGUAUUUCUGGAAAGCCUAAUAGAGGGAACUGGGCAUUGAGCAGUAGAAGCUAGAAUCUUUCAAAAUAAAUUAUAAGCAAGCAAUUAUUUUGCAAUUAUGAAUUUAAUGCUCGGAAUCAUAAGACCCGUUUUAAUGGAGUGGGAGAUGGUGAUUUGUUUGUGUGUAACAAGGGAAUUAUUGAGUUGACAGUGAGAGAUUAAUUCCUUUUGAGACAGAGAUCACUGAAGUGGAUUUUGCCUCUUCCACUAAAGGUUUUCUUAGACACAGUGAGAAACGAUGAUUAGGCACAGUUUUGGGCUGGAAGAAAGUUGGGUAGCUUUUGUUCUGUUGUUGUGAGUGCAUGACUGGUAAAAUUGUUUUUACUUUUAUUUAGAAUGAGAAUUUUGGUAAUUUAUCUUUAGAUUAUAUAUCUAUCUAUUAUUGUGAGCCAUUGCAGAAUAGUUCCUCAUUUUGUUUUCUGUAGAAAAGUUAAAUAUAUAAUGGUUAUAAUAGGUGGUUUUACUGGAUCCUGGCCUUGGUGCAAGAAGUUUAGGAUUGUCUCUAGAAAUUUUCUAAGAUUUGUUUAGAAUAAGGCACGUGAAUUUCUAAGAAAAAAUUGCAAAUUGAAUGCUAAGUACCAAGUUACCAAAUAAGAAAAAUAUAUAUAUUUAACAAUAUCAAACUAUUUUAAAGCCCAUAAAUUUAUAAUUUUCAAGAAGGAAUGCACAUUACAUAUAAAACAUGAGUUUGAAUGAAAAACUUUUAAAAAUGUACUGUCUGUGUUUCUUAGUGAUGAUUUUGAUGCAGCUUUUGAGCACUCGCUCAAGUAUGAUGUUGGAAAAAUUUUUCUUUUUUGGGCAGUUUAAGUAUAUUCACUCUACAUGUUUCUUGUGCAUUUCUUGGAUGUAUAUUAUAUGUACAGGAAAACUGGUACCUAGAGUGGCACUUCGACGUAUUGAUAGUGUGGACUUUGGCAAAGACCGGAGAAAUUUCUAAAGCAGAUCUUCUAAAGGGCUUAAAAAACAGGGUUCUGAGGAUGACUAAAAAGAAACAACAACGCAUGCAGAGAGGAAUGAUGUACUAUGAAGUGCCUUGUGAUAGUUUGGAUGUUUAAUUAUCUGUUAGAGUGAUUUUGGAGUCAAUUUGAACAUAGAAAUGUCUACACAUCAACAUAACAAUGAAAGUGAUGACGAAGAUGAUGAAGACAAUGGUGAUGAAUAUAGUGAUCAUAUUGAAGGGCAUGGUUGAUUAUAGGUACAAGUUAUGGUCGAUUGUAGAUACAAGUUGACUCUAGUUCAUGGUGCCUGGUGGAAACUUUAAGACAAGUGGUGCUUCCAUUCUCGUUCAUUCUCUCCUCUACUUUGGUCUCAUUUGUUUGUUCUUGAUCUCCAUUAAGAUCUACUUUUACAUAAGCUAAUCACUUCAUUUGCCUCCACAUUAUAUACUAUAUACUCAUCUUUAUGUUUAAUUUCUUGGACUCCUGUUCUUAUUCAAAAGUAACAACUACGACUUUAGUUCAA